GGGGGGGGGGGGGGGGGGGCUGGGGGGGGGCGGGGCGGGGGGAGGGGCCCGGCGGGUGGGGGGGGCUCGAGUGGCGAACGGGUGGGUAACACGUGAGUAACCUGCCCUUGACUUUGGGAUAACUUCAGGAAACUGGGGCUAAUACCGGAUAGGAGCUCCUGCUGCAUGGUGGGGGUUGGAAAGUUUCGGCGGUUGGGGAUGGACUCGCGGCUUAUCAGCUUGUUGGUGGGGUAGUGGCUUACCAAGGCUUUGACGGGUAGCCGGCCUGAGAGGGUGACCGGCCACAUUGGGACUGAGAUACGGCCCAGACUCCUACGGGAGGCAGCAGUGGGGAAUAUUGCACAAUGGGCGGAAGCCUGAUGCAGCAACGCCGCGUGCGGGAUGACGGCCUUCGGGUUGUAAACCGCUUUCGCCUGUGACGAAGCGUGAGUGACGGUAAUGGGUAAAGAAGCACCGGCUAACUACGUG
rnacentral:rRNA from 1 species